UACGUAGGGGCAAGCGUUGUUCGGAAUCAUUGGCGUAAAGAGCGUGUAGGCGGCCCGGCAAGUCCGCCGUGAAAGUCCAGGGCUCAACCCUGGAAUGCCGGUGGAAACUGUCGGGCUUGAGUUCGGAAGAGGCGAGUGGAAUUCCUGGUGUAGCGGUGAAAUGCGCAGAUAUCAGGAGGAACACCGGUGGCGAAGGCGGGUCUCUGGGCCGAUACUGACGCUGAGGAGCGAAAGCGUGGGGAGCGAACAGG
rnacentral:rRNA from 1 species